UACGGAGGGAGCUAGCGUUGUUCGGAUAUACUGGGCGUAAAGCGCACGUAGGCGGCCAACUAAGUCAGACGUGAAAUCCCUAGGCUCAACCUAGGAACUGCGUCUGAUACUGGAUGGCUUGAAUCCGGGAGAGGGAUGCAGAAUUCCAGGUGUAGCGGUGAAAUGCGUAGAUAUCUGGAGGAAUACCGGUGGCGAAGGCGGCAUCCUGGACCGGCAUUGACGCUGAGGAGCGAAAGCCAGGGGAGCAAACGGG
rnacentral:rRNA from 1 species